rfam:Brassica rapa chromosome A5, whole genome shotgun sequence.
GUUCUCGUAGCUCAGUUGGUUAGAGCGUUGAUCUUAUGAGCCGAAGGUCGCGUGUUCGAGUCCCGCCGGGAACA